UGCAGAUGAUGUAAACGAAUAUUUGCUAUCUAAACCAAUCAUGUUGACGAAUUACUACCAAGAUCUCUGAUGCA
ensembl:snoRNA SNORD24 Small nucleolar RNA SNORD24